GUCCCUUAGGUGACAUCCGAUAAAAUUGGAAUGAUACAGAGAAGAUUAGCAUGGCCCAUGCACAAGAAUGAUAUGCACAAAUCGAGAAAUUGUCCAAAAUUAA
rnacentral:snRNA from 1 species